rnacentral:lncRNA from 1 species
AUGGGCAAGUUCACAAAACCAGGGAAAGUGGUGCCAGUCCUGGCUAGAUGUUACUCAGGACGCAAAGCUGUCAUCAUGAGGAACAUUGAUGAUGGACGCACACCAGACGGUCCUUAUAGACAUGCCCUGGUGACUAGAAUUGAUCACUAAAAGUGACAGCUGCCAUGGGCAAGAAGAAGAUCGCCAAGAGAUCCAAGAUCAAGUCCUUUGUGAAAAUUUACAGCUACAGCCCAUACCCACGAGGGACUCUGUGGAUAUCCUCUUGAAUGAAACUGUUGUCAACAAGGGUGCCUUCAGAGGCUCAGCUCUGAAACACAAGGCCUGGGGAGGCCAAGGUCAAAUUUGAGGACCAAUAAAAGACAGGGAAGAACAAUUUUUUUUUCCAAAAGCUUCACUUUUAG